rnacentral:rRNA from 1 species
GUAGGUGGCAAGCGUUGUCCGGGAAUUAUUGGGGCGUAAAGCGCGCGCAGGCGGCUUUUUAAGGUCUGAUGUGAAAGCCCACGGGCUCAACCGUGGAGGGUCAUUGGAAACUGGAGAACUUGAGUACAGAAGAGGAAAGCGGAAUUCCACGUGUAGCGGUGAAAUGCGUAGAGAUGUGGAGGAACACCAGUGGCGAAGGCGGCUUUCUGGUCUGUAACUGACGCUGAGGCGCGAAAGCGUGGGGAGCAAACAGGAUUAGAUACCCUGGUAGUCCACGCCGUAAACGAUGAGUGCUAAGUGUUAGGGGGUUUCCGCCCCUUAGUGCUGCAGCUAACGCAUUAAGCACUCCGCCUGGGGAGUACGGCCGCAAAGGCUG